UGGCAGGCGCGUAGUCAGUAAUGGGCCAGGGCGGCACUGGCCCACCCACUUAACUCACUGGCCCGUCAAGCCAAGUUUGAUCAAAAUAUGUUUUGUUAUGAAAAAUAUUCAAAUGUAUGUAAAGAAAAAGAAAUAGCAACAUAACUAGUUAUGUGUGUUUAAUGUGUCUUCUCUUCUGAUUAAAACGAAACUGUUUAAACUAUAGAAUAAGGAUCAAACAAUUAGGAAGCCUUGGAAUGUAGGUGGUUGCUAUGGUAACAACAGGCAGACUCUCUGGGCUGCCUUCAGCAGCUAACGUUAGCUAGCUGGCUUUUUAGACAAUGUAGCUACCAUGGAUGUGUUAAGCAAUGUACUGUUAAAAGUUACCGCGACAACCAUGGCUUCUCUUUAAAGUGGUAUGGAGGGUUUUCUUGGAUGGAAUACAGUGUAAGUAAGGACAAGCUUUUCUGCAGCAUGUGCAGACAUUUCCCCAGCGGAGCUGACAGCCCAUCAGAGAGAGAGGAGUUUGUUUGAGUGCUAGCCCUCACAGAGGUAACAUUAAGUAAAACGUGUUUCAUGCUUCUUGCGUUAUUAUUUAAGUAACCUAGUAACCUUCCUAUUUAGUAAGAAAUCGUGAACACUGAUGAUGGCUUCUAGCUGAAACGCGUUUGUGUUUUGCCCACAUUAAAUAAGAAGAUAACUUAUCUGUGAGUGACGUAGUUUUUAGUUUUCUUUGAUCCUGUCACUGCCGUGGACUCGAUACACUGUUUAAGAUUUGGCGCCUUGAUGGGCACUUUUCAUUAUAUCUUUCAUAAUUCAAAAAAUGCUUGGCUGGAAGUUUUCAUUCUUUGAUUUUCUUUUACUGCUGGUAGGGCAUUUGCUGCUCAUGAUCUGACCAUAGUCCUGAAGCAACAAUGCUCUCGUUCCCUGAUAAUGAUGCA